GACGAACGCUGGCGGCGUGCCUAAAACAUGCAAGUCGAACGGUCCUAGCAAUAGGACAGUGGCGAACGGCGGAGUAAUACAUAACCAACGUGCCCUGAAGACUGGGAUAGCCGGGUGAAAACCCGAGUAAUACCGGAUGUGGCUCCUUUCCGGCAUCGGAGAGGAACUAAAUGGUUUUUCNCUUCAGGAGCGGGUUAUGGCCUAUCAGCUUGUUGGCGGGGUAAUGGCCCACCAAGGCGACGACGGGAGGGGUCGUGAGAGGA
rnacentral:rRNA from 1 species